CAGCAGCCGCGGUAAUACGUAGGGUGCGAGCGUUAAUCGGAAUUACUGGGCGUAAAGCGUGCGCAGGCGGUUAUAUAAGACAGAUGUGAAAUCCCCGGGCUCAACCUGGGACCUGCAUUUGUGACUGUAUAGCUAGAGUACGGUAGAGGGGGAUGGAAUUCCGCGUGUAGCAGUGAAAUGCGUAGAUAUGCGGAGGAACACCGAUGGCGAAGGCAAUCCCCUGGACCUGUACUGACGCUCAUGCACGAAAGCGUGGGGAGCAAACAGGAUUAGAUACCCCUGUAGUCACUGUCUCUUAUAC
rnacentral:rRNA from 1 species